UACGGAGGGUGCGAGCGUUAAUCGGAAUUACUGGGCGUAAAGCGCGCGUAGGCGGUUAAGUAAGCCGGUUGUGAAAGCCCCGGGCUCAACCUGGGAAUGGCAUCCGGAACUGUAUAGCUAGAGAGCAGAAGAGGAAGGUAGAAUUCCCGGUGUAGCGGUGAAAUGCGUAGAGAUCGGGAGGAAUACCAGUGGCGAAGGCGGCCUUCUGGUCUGACGCUGACACUGAGGUGCGAAAACGUGGGUAGCAAACAGG
rnacentral:misc_RNA from 1 species